UACGGAGGGUGCGAGCGUUGUCCGGAAUCACUGGGCGUAAAGGGCGCGUAGGUGGCGCGGGCAGUCAACGGUGAAAGUUCGGGGCUCAACCCUGAAUCGGCCGUCGAUACUCCCGAGUUGGAGCACUGUAGAGGCUCAUGGAAUUCCGGGUGUAGCGGUGGAAUGCGUAGAGAUCCGGAAGAACACCGGUGGCGAAGGCGGUGAGCUGGGCAGUUGCUGACACUGAGGCGCGACAGCGUGGGGAGCAAACAGG
rnacentral:rRNA from 1 species